AGUCGAGCGGAAGGCCACUUCGGUGGUACUCGAGCGGCGAACGGGUGAGUAACACGUGAGUAAUCUGCCCUUGGCUUUGGGAUAGCCACCGGAAACGGUGAUUAAUACCGGAUACGACCACUUCUCGCAUGGGAUGGUGGUGGAAAGUUUUUCGGCCAGGGAUGUGCUCGCGGCCUAUCAGCUUGAUGGUGAGGUAAUGGCUCACCAUGGCUUCGACGGGUAGCCGGCCUGAGAGGGUGACCGGUCACACUGGGACUGAGACACGGCCCAGACUCCUACGGGAGGCAGCAGUGGGGAAUAUUGGACAAUGGGCGGAAGCCUGAUCCAGCAACGCCGCGUGAGGGAUGACGGCCUUCGGGUUGUAAACCUCUUUCAGCAGGGACGAAGCGCAAGUGACGGUACCUGCAGAAGAAGCACCGGCCAACUACGUGCCAGCAGCCGCGGUAAUACGUAGGGUGCGAGCGUUGUCCGGAAUUAUUGGGCGUAAAGGGCUCGUAGGCGGUUUGUCGCGUCGGGAGUGAAAACCAGGUGCUUAACACCUGGCUUGCUUUCGAUACGGGCAGACUAGAGGUAUUCAGGGGAGAACGGAAUUCCUGGUGUAGCGGUGAAAUGCGCAGAUAUCAGGAGGAACACCGGUGGCGAAGGCGGUUCUCUGGGAAUAUCCUGACGCUGAGGAGCGAAAGUGUGGGGAGCGAACAGGAUUAGA
rnacentral:rRNA from 1 species